GACGAACGCUGGCGGCGCGCCUAACACAUGCAAGUCGAACGAGCGAGAGAGAGCUUGCUUUCUCAAGCGAGUGGCGAACGGGUGAGUAACGCGUGAGGAACCUGCCUCAAAGAGGGGGACAACAGUUGGAAACGACUGCUAAUACCGCAUAAGCGCACAGCAUCGCAUGAUGCAGUGUGAAAAGCUCCGGCGGUAUGAGAUGGACCCGCGUCUGAUUAGCUAGUUGGCGGGGUAACGGCCCACCAAGGCGACGAUCAGUAGCCGGCCUGAGAGGGUGGACGGCCACAUUGGGACUGAGACACGGCCCAA
rnacentral:rRNA from 1 species